GAGACCAAGUUUUCCUGCUUCUGCUGCACUUAAUCCCACACACAGAAAAAGUUUAAGAUUAUGAAGAAAAUGUGACGGUCACUAUUUUGGUAAACGUACGUGGCUGCACGAAAAAUUGUUGAACGAAUAAAAUGACUAAAAUGUGGUCGUUCGUCGUGUGGACUCGUGGUGUUGACCAGUGUGGAGGCUCAAGGCUCUCCAACCAUGCUGUUUGGCAGAUAAACAGCAUCCUUUUGGAUUGGAGGAACUGCCGAUGUCAAUCGAGUUACGGAUGUCUUCUUCCCCUUCCGUUCAAUCUCCUCUGUCCUCGUGUACACCCAUGUGAGUGUGGGUGUAUUCACGAGUCUGAGGCCCUUUUUUCCUAUCCCGCCUGGUGUAAUUCAACUUUGAUGGUCUAAGCACCUGUGGAUACCCGGCCGUAUUUCCCAGGCUUUAAGAUAAACAGCAUUAGCAGCAACAGCAGUGAUUGGAGAA